rnacentral:rRNA from 1 species
AUGUCCACAGAAGAUUGUGUUCAUGAAAUGGGUUUACUUAGUGAUGAAAAGGCAAAACAAUUGUUUAUGGCAGUCGUGCGCAAAGAAACUCAGAAGGAGAGUCUACCCAGGGACUGGGAAAUCUGCAGCAAUCUUCGUAAACUCUGGGAAAUGUGUGGUGGUCUUCUGUUAACCAUAGUUACAAUGGCUGGGCAGGUCGCCUGCAACCCAGAUAAAUCAGAUGAAGAAUGGAUCGAAGUUUAUACUGCUUUAGCACCAAGACCUAGUACAAGUCGCACAGAGUACCAACUCACUAAGAUACUUAGUAACUGCUACAAUGAUAUGCCUGUUGAGAUCAAGACGUGUGCCUUGUAUUUUAGCAUAUUCCCGAGGGGCCAAAAAAUCAGCAGGAAGCGUCUGACAAGGCGAUGGAUAUCAGAGGGUCUUGCCAUUGAGCACCAAGGGUUGAGUGCGGAGGAGGUUGCAGAGACAUACUUGAAUCAUCUCAUGAGGAGGAAGUUAUUACGAGCUACGGAGCACAGUAGCAAUGGGAAGGUAAAGAGCUAUCAAGUCCACGGCGUGGUUCUUGAGUACCUUGUGUACAAGGCAAGCGAGGAGAAUUUUGUCACUAUAGUUGGUGGCUGGGUCAUGCCGCCACCUACCAGCAAAAUCCGGCGGAUAUCCAUCCAAUGCAGCGGCUUGAGGUGUGGGAAAGAGCUGGAGGCCAUGAACUUAUCUCAUGUCCGAGACCUGACUAUGUUUGGGAGUUUGGAGCAACUGCCUUCCAGUUCAUUCAAGUUUGGAGUUGUGCAAAUUCUAGACCUUGAAGGUUGCAAGGAUUUUAAAAGGUGUCAUACUAAGGAGAUAUACAGAAUGCUUCUACUCAAGUAUCUCAGCCUCCGUGGAACAGAUAUUAAGAAGCUCACAAAAAGAAUUGGAGAUCUCCGGUAUUUGGAGACUCUUGACAUAAGGGAAACAGAUGUUUUGGAGCUUCCCAAAGCAAUCUGCAAGCUUGAACGAGUGGUUAACAUUUUUGGUGGGAACAAAAGAACAAGGAAGGCAUUGAAGCUUCCUGAGGAACUGGGGAAAAUGGGAAACAUGAAGGCUCUUCGUGCACUGUCAGGUAUUGAUAUCGGUGGAGAAGAAACGACUGCCGACUUCCAUCAUCUGACCGAUCUGAGGAAGCUCACCAUUUACAAUAUUAAUUAUAACAUGAUAUUUCAGCAUUCCGUGGUAUUUAGUUCCUCGAUUGAGUACCUCGGUGGCUUCUCUCUCCGUGCCCUGGUAAUUCAUGACGACUCAGCUGAGUUUCUCAAAUCACUAGGUGGUCUUUCUUCCCCUCCCAUGUUUCUCAAUGCUCUCGAGUUGUCUGGCAAGUUGAUUGAGCUCCCAAAAUGGAUUGCCGCAAUGGAUGCUCUCACAAAGCUCACCCUCUCAUUGACAGCUCUUCGGGCAGAUAAUUUGGAGCUCCUUAGCAAGAUAUGCAGUCUGUUUUCUCUCACACUCUCACUCAAUGCAGCGAAGCAGGAUGAAGAAACAGCUGCCAUUAUUGAGGACAAUAAGGCAUGUUCAGAUGGGGUGAUACCAUUUCCGGUUGGCGGAUUUGAGAAUCUCAAGCUUCUUCGCUUCAUUGCCCCUUAUGUGCCACAACUAAGCUUUCCAGAUGGUGCAGUGCCAACACUCGAGAGGCUUGAGCUAAGGUUCAGCAACUUUGAGGGCCUUGUUGGCAUAAGAGGGCUAAAAAAUCUCCAACAGGUUUAUAUUAAGGUACAAGACGAAGCAAGUGAGACCACCGAAUUAAUAGUGAAAGAAAUGGCAACUGCGGCAAGGGAAGAUCGUCAGGGACCAAGAAUAAUCUUUGAUUAA